rnacentral:rRNA from 1 species
CCGGGUGAGUAACACGUAUCCAACCUGCCGUCUACUCUUGGACAGCCUUCUGAAAGGAAGAUUAAUACAAGAUGGCAUCAUGAGUCCGCAUGUUCACAUGAUUAAAGGUAUUCCGGUAGACGAUGGGGAUGCGUUCCAUUAGAUAGUAGGCGGGGUAACGGCCCACCUAGUCUUCGAUGGAUAGGGGUUCUGAGAGGAAGGUCCCCCACAUUGGAACUGAGACACGGUCCAA